CUUUAUUGGAGAGUUUGAUCCUGGCUCAGGAUGAACGCUGGCGGCGUGCCUAAUACAUGCAAGUCGAGCGAAUGGAUUAAGAGCUUGCUCUUAUGAAGUUAGCGGCGGACGGGUGAGUAACACGU
rnacentral:rRNA from 1 species